rnacentral:hammerhead_ribozyme from 1 species
AUUCAGAUGACGAGUCCCAAAUAGGUCGAAACUCAGGUCCUGGAU